rnacentral:sRNA from 1 species
UUUUUGUUAUUGCACCUAGAAGAAAACCAAUUAAUAGCAGCAACUGGUCUAUUGUAGAUGUUAAGAGGAAACGAAAUGCACCGGGUCCGAGCCCUAAAGAACCUGCUAUGAAAAAACAGAAAUCUGAAAUGGACUGUGAUAAUGAAGAAAAUGUUGAGGAUUGUUUUGGAGAGCCUGUGCCUAAGAGGUUUAUUUUUGAAAUGAGGAGGUCUUUCAAGGAGCUGGAAGACCAAAUGUAUCAAAUGCAAGAAGAUAUGAGACUUUGUCCGUGAGCAGAUACGUGCUGCCCUUGAUCCAAAAGGCAAAAGGCCAGAACAAACCAUACCUUCCCAUGAUUCGCGGAAACCACCUACUUCUAUGGAUAAGGCACCGGUUACUGCGAAGAAGCCAUCGAGAAGGAUGUCUACAAAAGGAAGCACGGGAACGAGAAAGUCUUCAAGGCUGACUCGCGUUUCUCAUGAUGUGGACACUCCAGCGCUUUCUGUUGGCUGUAAUUCCAAAGAGGAAGAUUUGGAUGUCCCUGGUGUACAUACCACUACUGUCGGCGGAAGAAGAAAACCUUCAAAGCCGAAGAAAAAUGUUUCUUUUGUUGUUGACACUACUGAGCUAUCUGAUUCCAAUAAGGAAGAUAUGCAAGGAUUCAUUGAUGAACAGGUAAGUCAUGUACGUACAUUGCUAAAUAUUUUAUAAUCCAUAUAUUAUAACUGUACUGUCUGCUUCGAUACAGUAUGGCGGUAAUAAUAAAAGUGAUUUUACUGCAAAUGAUGGAUUGAAUUCUUCGGCCGCUGAAGAAGAGAUAUUAGACACUGGAUUUUUAAUAGUUCCUUAUGCUGGAUCCACACAAUCCCAUCUGGUAUGUCGUCUACUAAUACUCUUAACAAUCUGUUUAAAUGGUGUACGUACAUAUUCGCUUAAGAAGUUAGUUAAACUAUGUUUCAGGAUAGAGGAAACGUUGUUGUUGGUAAGACUGUCUUUUUAGGUUCAAUGUCUGGGACUGUCUAUGUUACAUAGGAAGGGAGGCAUGUGGAAGAAGCUACUGUUGACACCGAGAUGGAAGAAGUUCCAUCUAAUGUGUCUGCAAGAGUUUCAAAGGUAGAUCUUGUGGUAUUCGUUACAUACAGAUUUCCAUGACUAUAUGCAUAGAUAUUACAUUAAUUUCUCCACUUAUCUACCGCUUAACUCUAUGGUAGCCUAUGUUUCAGGAUAAUGGACCAAAGGAUGUUGUUGAACCUGGCUUAGUUGGUACCCAUACAGGGGCCGAUGAAAUAGCUGAUGCUGACAAAGAGAUGGUAGACAAUCCAUCAGGUUUACCUUCAACAUCUGCACAGGUAUGUGUUAGUCACUUGUUCUUUUUCCAUAUGUGUACGCCCAUAAGACUUUGAAAAUUAUUUUUGUUUCAGAAAGAAGCAAGAGAUGCCAGUGCUGCGACUGAAGCUAAUGGCAGCGAGUCAGAAGAAACUUAUGAGCCUUCUGAUGGAGAUACAGCUCACAUACCUGGCACAAGUGUACGUACAUUUUUGUCACUAUGUUCUGUGUACAUAUAUAUUGUUUCAUACAUUACUAAAAAGUUGCUUUCCGAUGAUAAAUUCUACAGGUUGAGGCGGCAGGAGAAUCCAAAUUAGUGACAGGGAUGGAAGUUGAAAUACCUGAGAAGACCCACAGUGAUCCCCCGUCACCAUUUCAAGUAGUUAACAAUGUAAGCUAACUCUUGCAACAAAUAAAAUGUACUAUUUACUGUUCAAAUGUAUAAAAUUUAUAUUAUGCAGGUCAUACGGGAGUUGGAUACCAAAGCCGUUGGUGAUUUGGCUGCAGCUACUAAUGUGGAGGUAACAAUUUGUGUGUUUCAAUUCCUAUUCUCGGAAUAGCAUACAUAGGAUUAUAUGUGUACAUUAUAUAGACUUGUGUACGUUAACUUGCACAGGUAGUCAUGGAAGAGCCGGGUAUUGUCGAGGGGUCUGUAAGAACUGAGGAUCCUAACCCAGGGUCAGAUGAAGCAGACAAGACCGAUAUUCAUAAAAAUAAUGUAUGUACCUGGGAAAACGGUUUAUUUCCCCAUGAGAACUAUCAUAUCACGCCAGAUAGAGCCCGAUCUUUAGCCUCUGUCUGUAUACCCACAAAACUGAAGUUAAAUGCCUAAUUCCCCACGAAAUCAAAGUUCGAGAGCUAGUUGUCCCCGAUUCAAAAUUUCGUCAUCUUAAACCCCAUGUCGAUGGGUUUAAUCGGUUUACUGUUUUCCAAUCAGAUAAGUUAACCCGCUAAACCUAUCUUUAACCAAUUAAACCAAAAUUUCUACCCGAUUUACGACCCAUUACUCUUACAACCAAACCCCCCCCCCCCCCAAAUCGAAACCCUAAAGUCUAAAAUCCCCAAUUCUAAGAACCCUAGAGAGAACUUUUUUCAAUCGUCGUCUUCAAGCUUCAAUGUCGUUGGUCAUGCGUGACCCUGAUUUUGUUGGUGAUGUUGAUCCUGAAGCUGAAGAUAGGGAUCAAUUUC